GGGAACAAAUUUUGGAUCCCUUUUAAGUAUGAACAGCUGCCGACUUUCUGCUUUGGGUAUGGUAGGUUGGGGCAUGGUCUCUAUGAUUGCUCAGAAAUUACUCCUGCAGAGAAAAACUGAAUUAAAGAGGAUCCACCUUUCUCUUUAGCAUUAAAAGCAGAAUCAACGUUGGUUGGAAGGGAGAGUCUAAAGCUAAAUGCUCUAUCGAAAAACAACAACCACAAUGCUCGUAUGUUGGAGGUAUUACAAAGGAUCAGGAAGAUUAUUUGUCCAUGGAGCAAAGUAGUGGUAUGAUGAGAGGAGUCCAAGAUGGUGCUUGGUUGGCAUCAAUUGCUGCAGAUCUAGAAAUACAAAAGGAAGAAGGAAUCAAUGAAAAAGAUACUGUAAAUAGAAACGCCAAUAAUCUGAAUUUAGCCAGGAAAGCUAGUUGGAAAAGAAUGAAAUUAAUGGGAAUGAUGAAAAAUCACGAGGUAGAUCGUAAAUUGCAAAAAAGGAAAUUGACAGAGUUAGUACAAGAUGAAUAUGGGACAAAAGAGACUCAGGAAGAGAAUCCAAAAAGGACGAGACAUGGUGGACAGGAUCUAAUCACGGAGGAUGAAACCAAUUUACAAAUGGAAUAUUCCAACCAGACAGGAUCGGCGGCUGCCAAUGGGCAAGCCGACCGGGCACAAUGAAAAUCAUAUGCUGGAAUGUCCGUGGAUUGGGGAGUCCAUGGGCAGUAAGAAAGCUUCGGUUUUUAUUGAAGCAAAAUAAUCCUCAACUAGUCUUCCUAAUGGAGACUAAAGUAAGUGAAAAGCGUAUGGAAGCAAUUAGAAGAAGGUGUGGCUUCACGAAUGGGCUUGAAGUAGGACCUGUUGGUACGCGGGGUGGGAUUUGCUUAGCAUGGCGAGAGGAGGCUCAGAUUAAUCUUAAAUCCAUGUCAACAAGUCAUAUUGAUGUGCUAGUCAAAGAAGAAGGUGUUCAUGAAGAUUGGAGAUUCAUAAGGUUUUAUGGCUCACCCUACUCACAAAAUAAAAAUGCCUCAUGGGGUUUCAUAAGAUCUUGGGACAGGAGCGAGAGUAUCCUUGGUUAGUGAGUGGAGAUUUUAAUGAAAUAGCUUAUUCAUUUGAAAAAAGGGGAGGUCAACCGAGGGAGGAAAGGAAGAUGGCAGCGUUUCAGGAAGUUCUGCAAGAUUGUCACCUUUUAGAUAUGGGAUAUUCAGGAAUAUGGUAUACAUGGGAAAUAGGGAAUCUACCAGAGACGAACAUCAGAGAAAGAUUGGAUAAGGGUGUUGCGAAUGAAAAAUGGAUGGACUUAUUUCCAACGGGCAAUAUUCAUCAUUUAACGUCCACCCUUUCGGAUCAUUGUCCUCUCCUAAUAAACACAACUAAUGUAAGCAGAUUCAAGACAGUUCUAAGUUUCAAGUUUGAAGCUUGGUGGACCACAGAGGAAUCAAUAGAAAAAGAAAUUCAGAAAUCCUGGAACUCAUCAAAUGGAUCGGUUCUGGAGAAGCUUGAGAACUUAUAGAUUAGCUUAUCGAAAUGGGAAAAAUUCAUAAAGAAGAAACGAAAGGGGCUGACGGAUAAAAUUACAAAAGAGCUUGAAGAUUUAAUAAAGAAGGAACUUGAUGAAGAUGUUAUGAGCCAGGUUAUUGACAAAAGAAUCCAUUUGAGUAUGGAGGCCGAUAAGGAGGAGAUGUAUUGGGAACAGAGAGCAAGAGCUAAUUGGCUGAAGUUAGGAGACAAGAACAAGGCAUUUUUUCAUAAAUAUGCAUCAAUGCGGAGAAGAAUUAAUACAAUCAGUAGGCUUGAUAGUGAUGAUGGAAAAGUAAUCAAUGAGGAAUCAGAAAUUAAUGAGAUGGCUACGCUGUAUUUUCAGAAGCUUUUUUCGACUACUGGCAUUAGAGAUUCUUCCCACCUUUUAACAGGUAUUCAAAACAGUAUCUCUUCAGAUAUCAACACAGCCCUCUUAGAAAAGUUUACGACAGAGGAGAUUUAUAUAGCAGUAAAGGGAAUGGGUUCUACAAAAGCUACAGGUUAUGAUGGAUUUCCGGCUUUAUUUUUUCAAAAAUAUUAGGGUAUUGUGGGUGAGGAUAUUGGGAAUUUCUGUUUGGAAGUUUUGAACAACGGAAAAGAUGUGGAAGGGCUAAACCUAACUAAGAUCACUCUUAUUCCGAAGAAUUCCAAUCCUACGAACCUUGCCGACUUUAGACCAAUUAGUUUGUGCACAGUUUUAUAUAAAAUUAUAGCCAAAGCUAUUGCCAAUCGUCUCCAGGAAGUCAUUGGAAGAUGUAUUGAUAGUGUUCAAGGUGCAUUUGUCCCAAGGAGGCUUAUUUCGGAUAAUGUUUUAAUAGCCUAUGAAAUUCUAUAUACACUUCGGCAAAAACGCAAGGGGAAAAAAGGAUUCAUGGCGAUUAAGCUGGACAUGAGUAAAGCCUACGAUAGAGUUGAAUGGGUUUUCUUGAAGGAAGUUAUGAUGAGGAUGGGAUUUGCGAAGGAAUGGGUGGUAUUAAUAAUGAGAUGCAUUUCUACAGUCUCUUAUGUUGUGACUACAAAUGGGAGGAGUGGUAGAGUUUUUAAACCAACCAGAAGACUCCGACAAGGUGACCCACUUAGCCCAUUUCUUUUCUCAUUUGCAGUGAAGGUUUAUCGUCCUUAAUCAGGAAUGCCACAAGAGAGGGGUUGAUUAAAGGGGUGAGAGCUAGCAGAAGAGGCCCGACAAUCUCACACUUGUUAUUUGCAGACGAUUGCAUUUUGUUUGGUGAAGCCACCGAAAGUAGUGCAAGGAACCUAAAAGUUAUUUUGCAAGAGUAUGAGACUUGUUCUGGUCAAUGCGUUAAUUUUAAUAAGUCCAUGAUCUUUUUUAGUUCGAAUUUGGAGGAGGGUGAUAAAGGAAGUAUAUCGGCUGAAAUGGGAAUAAGAUGCUCGACUAACAUGGAGAAAUAUCUAGGACUGCCAAACAUAGUAGGUCGGAAGAAAAAGGAAUCUUUUCAGAUUCUCAAAGACAGAGUAAAGCAAAGGAUUGAAAAUUGGAGCACUCGUUUCUUAUCUCAAGGGGGUAGAGAGGUUUUCAUUAAAUCAGUACUUCAAGCAAUUCCUACUUACACAGUGACAUGUUUCCUACUACCAAUGUCGCUUUGUGGUGAGUUGGACAAUUUAUUUGCUAGAUUUUGGUGGCAGAAAGGAAAAGGAAAGAAAGGAAUUCACUGGUGUCAAUGGGAAUAUAUGUGUAGGCCUAAAGAGGAGGGUGGUAUGGGUUUUCGAAAUAUGGCACAUUUCAAUAUAGCACUACUGGCUAAGAAAGGGUGGAGGAUUAUGAAUAAUCAGAAUGCUCUCGUAACGCAAGUAUUCAAAGCUAAGUAUUUCCAAGAUGAUCAUUUCUUAAACUCCCGUUUAGGAAAUUCAUGUUCUUAUGUUUGGAAAAGCAUUUGGGCAGCCAAAGACUUAUUGACAAAAAGGCACUGUUGGAGGGUGGGAACGGGUACUAAUAUUUCUAUCAAUGAUGCUUGGAUUCCAGAUUCAGUUAACUUUAGAUUAUUAUCAAAAAUUAAUUCUAUGCGCGAUGCUAAAGUUGAUGAGUUCAUUGACAGUCAUAACAGAAGUUGGAAAAAAGAGUUGAUUACCAGUACCUUUUCGGAAGACGAUGCCGCCAAAAUCCUCAGAAUUCCUCUAACACAAACACCGCAUGAAGAUUUUCUUAUCUGGGGUGGCGAACGGUCGAGUGAAUUCACGGUCAGAAGCGCCUAUCAACUAUUACAAAAAUUGACUGAAAGUCCUAGAGCUUAUGCUUUACAGACCAUCUAUAGGAAUUUUUACAAAAAAACUUUGGAGCCUAAAUCUACCGACUAAAAUAAAGGUCACAUUAUGGAAGUUAUCUUGGAAUUAUCUGCCUACAAAGGUGAAUCUAUAGCACCGGAAGUUAGCAGUCAAUCCAAGCUGUCCCCGAUAUGGAGAAGGAGCUGAAACAAUGAACCAUUUAUUUCGCGAAUGCCAUGUUACAAGGGAGGUAUGGAGAGCAUUAUCGUUUCAAAACAUUUUGAUGAAUCAAUGUGAGGAUUUUGUACAGUGGAUCACCUGGGUAGUAGAGGAGCUCAGCCUUUAUCAAAGUCGAAUAUUCUGUUGUGCACUUUGGGCCAUAUGGGGAGAUAGAAACAAAAAAAUACAUGAAGGCAAAGUUAGUAAUGGGACGAAAGUUGCAAACUUUAUAAACAAUUACAUUAAUGAGAUUAAUGACCUUGAAAAAAAGAGAUCUGAAUCGUACUAGAGAGAACCAGAGAUGGUCGUACCCACAGGAGAGUUUCAUCAAGAUCAACUUUGAUGGUGCCUACGAUAAAAGGCAGAAUCGGUCGGCUUCGGGUAUUGUGGCCAGAGAUUCGGAAGGAAAUAUCCUCUUCUCAUGUUCAGAGAUUCAUUCUAAUAUCUCAUCGGCCUUUACUGCUGAAGCAAUAGCCUGCUGGAGAGCAGUCCAAAUAGGAACCGGGAAGGGAUGGCAGUUUCUGAUUCUUGAAGGAGAUUCCCUCGCAAUCAUCAAAAAUGCAAUUCAAAGGGUCAAGACAGAUCGAUGGUAGGGGCAUACAUUUAUGACAUUCAACAGAAAAUAUAUGGAUUUGAUAAUAUCAGAUUUCAAAAUACACCUAGAUCUGCAAAUAAUCUUACACAUAUCUUAGCAACAGAAACGUUAAAAAGAGGAGAAGAGAUUUACCUGGAUAGGGGAGUUCCUGAGUAUGCUAUGGAUCAAGCUCGGUACGAUGGGAGAAGAGGACCAGAUUAGAAGUUUUCAGGAGAGGAAGAGUGGAGAAAGGAAGCCUCAGAACAGUAAAGGAAACGGAUCGAUUUUCUUGGCAUAUUUUGAAAAUGGAAUCAUCAAAAAUGAAUUGAAAUGACAGAAAGACUGGAAGACAAUUUCCAAACAACUUCUGAUUGGGCAACG
rnacentral:lncRNA from 1 species